GAGCAACUCAUGUCUACCUACAUCACUGGGCUGUUGGAAGGACUGAAUGACAAGACUCACAUACAUUGCUCAGAUCAGGGCCUGGCACAGAGUUGCACACAAUGCAGUUUUGUUGACGGCACAAGGAAAUGUCUACUGAGCCCCUGUCUCAAGACAGGCCUGUGCUAGGGACUGGGAAUAAAGUGGUGAGCAAAGCCCGACUUGAUCUCUGAGCUCAAGGCAACUAGAGCCUCAACCAGCAGAGACUGAGCAGGAGUUGAACCAGAGGAAGCAUUCAACGGCACAUGAUCCUUAUUGCCUGGCUCGGGCAGAGCCCCUGAGCUCCUUCAAAGGUGGGAACUGAAGCCUCCCAAGCACCCGGGAACCUCUGAGCAGCAGACAUCACCUGAGGCCCCCAGGAAGCCAGGGUGGCUGGAGUGGUGCUGGGCAGCUUCCUUGGGCAGCAGCUCUGGCUUCUUUGAGGACAGAAGUAGAACAGCAAAGCCGGAUGCUCACUGCCCUCCAGCCCCUGACCCCCAGCAGAUCCUGAUGAGGCUGUGGGGUUAGCAAGAAGACAUGCUGGUGUCCCACCCUACUGCAGCAUCAGAAGGCAGGAAACAACUGUGCACUGAAGAGCACACUCCAAGUUCCUGAGCAGACUAAAGCCUGUGACCCCGAUUAACGAACUCCAGGAUGACGGAGGCCUGUGUUUGCCCUGAAAGCGUGAAGUCUGGCGUGUGCUGGGUGCUGGCUGUGUUUCUGUGAAGCUGAAUUGAGCUGAUGGCUGUAGCCCUUGCUUAGAGACCUGCAUCCCAGAGGACACACAAUAAUGGAUAAUGACGAGGUCGGUUGUAUUCAAUGGACCCAGGAAGGAUGCAGGUGAGCAGUGGGGUGACCAGGAGGCAAUGAAAUCCUAGCUGGGCAUGGUGGUGCACACACACCUGUCUUCCCAGCACUUGA